AUACGGAGGAUCCGAGCGUUAUCGGGAUUUAUUGGGUUUAAAGGGUGCGCAGGCGGCCAUUUAAGUCAGCGGUUAAAUCGUGGGGCUCAACCCCAUUCUGCCGUUGAUACUGGGUGGCUUGAUUGCGGUCGAGGUUGGCGGAAUUCGUUGUGUAGCGGUGAAAUGCAUAGAUAUGACGAAGAACACCGAUUGCGUAGGCAGCUGACCAGACCGCAAAUGACGCUCAUGCACGAAAGUGCGGGGAUCGAACAGGAUUAGAUACCCUGGUAGUCCGCACAGUAAACGAUGAAUACUUGUUUUCGGCGAUAUAAUGUCGGAGGCAAAGCGAAAGCGAUAAGUAUUCCACCUGGGGAGUACGCCGGCAACGGUGAAACUCAAAGGAAUUGACGGGG
rnacentral:rRNA from 1 species